rnacentral:misc_RNA from 1 species
GAGAAGAACGCAGCGAAAUGCGAUAAGUAGUGUGAAUUGCAGAAUUCAGUGAAUCAUCGAAUCUUUGAACGCACAUUGCGCCCCUUGGUAUUCCAUGGGGCAUGCCUGUUCGAGCGUCAUUUGUACCUUCAAGCUCUGCUUGGUGUUGGGUGUUUGUCUCGCCUCUGCGUGUAGACUCGCCUCAAAACAAUUGGCAGCCGGCGUAUUGAUUUCGGAGCGCAGUACAUCUCGCGCUUUGCACUCAUAACGACGACGUCCAAAAGUACAUUUUUACACUCUUGACCUCGGAUCAGGUAGGGAUACCCGCUGAACUUAAGCAUAUCAAUAAGCGGAGG